rnacentral:rRNA from 1 species
GACGAACGCUGGCGGCGUGCUUAACACAUGCCAGUCGAACGGAGUGGCGAACGGGUGAGUAACACGUGGAUGACCUGCCCUGCCCUUCGGGAUAAGCCCGGGAAACUGGGUCUAAUACCGGAUAGUGUGGGAUGGGCCCGCGGCCUAUCGGCUUGUUGGGGGGGUAAUGGCCUACCAAGGCGGAGCCGGGUAGCCGGCCUGAGAGCGUGGACGGCCACAUGGGGCCUGAGACACGGACCAGACUACUACGGGAGGCAGCAGUGGGGAAGAUUGCACAAUGGGGGGAAGUCUGAUGCAGAGACGCCGCGUGGGGGAUGUAGGCCUUCGGGGUGUAAACUUCUUUCAGCAUAGACGCGGUAGAUGGAGAAGAAGCACCGGCUAACUACGUGCCAGCAGCCGCGGUAAUUC